CAGUCUUGUCCACACUGUCUUCUCUCGCUGUCUCUAGUGACUGAGUUUUAAAUCCCACUACAGAAGUGGUUUUUCAUCCCCUCCUGGAGAAACCUGCUGGCCCAGCUGUCUUCCUCAUUGACAUUUAAAAUAGACAAGGUUCCCUGUGUGGUUUCAACCAGGUUUGACGUGUCAGUCAUUGCUUGGCUUUGGGGGCUCCCCCUCGGAUGGGUUGGGGAGGGCUUUUGGGUGGGGAUUUGUUUAACUGGGAAGCCCUGAGGUUUCGAGGGCAGUUAGUACUGCUUACAAAGUGUGUCAGACACUUAACAGCUGGUAACCACAUGUCAUGUUUUAUCUAGAGCUUAAUCAGAGAGACUGCUUGGUGACUAUUGAGUCUCCUUCUGGGAGUUUUUCAUGAUUU
rnacentral:lncRNA from 1 species